AGUGAACGCUGGCGGUAGGCCUAACACAUGCAAGUCGAACGGCAGCACAGGAGAGCUUGCUCUCUGGGUGGCGAGUGGCGGUCGGGUGAGGAAUACAUCGGAAUCUACUCUGUCGUGGGGGAUAACGUAGGGAAACUUACGCUAAUACCGCAUACGACCUACGGGUGAAAGCAGGGGACCUUCGGGCCUUGCGCGAUUGAAUGAGCCGAUGUCGGAUUAGCUAGUUGGCGGGGUAAAGGCCCACCAAGGCGACGAUCCGUAGCUGGGCUGAGAGGAUGAUCAGCCGCAAGGGAACGGAGACACGGUCCAGAAUCCUACGGGAGGCAGCAGUGGGGAAUAGUGGAAGAUGGUCGCAAGCCUGAUCCAGCCAUACCGCGUGGGUGAAGAAGGCCUUCGGGUUGUAAAGCCCUUUUGUUGGGAAAGAAAUCCAGCUGGCUAAUACCCGGUUGGGAUGACGGUACCCAAAGAAUAAGCACCGGCUAACUUCGUGCCAGCCGCCGCGGUAA
rnacentral:rRNA from 1 species